GGCCCAAUGCCAUGUCGAUGGGGUUAAUUCAUAAAAAGGGCAAUGGCCGGCAAUACUAUGAUCAGACCUAUCAAGUCCCUAUGCUGAUAGGAACCUGUGGAUCUGGUUGUAUCCCAUUUAUCCAUGGAGCCGAUUUCUGUGAUUACUUUU